rnacentral:rRNA from 1 species
AGUUGAUUAUGGCUCAGGAUGAACGCUAGCUACAGGCUUAACACAUGCAAGUCGAGGGCAGCAUGAGAUUAGCUUGCUAAUCUUGAUGGCGACCGGCGCACGGGUGAGUAACGCGUAUCCAACCUUCCCCCUACUCAGGCAUAGCCCGGUGAAAACCGGAUUAACUCCUGAUAGUUUCACUAGAUGGCAUCUGACGGUGAAUAAAGCUCAGCGGUAAGGGAUGGGGAUGCGUCUGAUUAGCUUGUUGGCGGGGUAACGGCCCACCAAGGCGACGAUCAGUAGGGGUUCUGAGAGGAAGGUCCCCCACAUUGGAACUGAGACACGGUCCAAACUCCUACGGGAGGCAGCAGUGAGGAAUAUUGGUCAAUGGGCGCGAGCCUGAACCAGCCAAGUAGCGUGCAGGACGACGGCCCUAUGGGUUGUAAACUGCUUUUGUAUGGGAAUAAAGUCAGGGACGUGUCCCUGUUUGCAUGUACCAUAAGAAUAAGGACCGGCUAAUUCCGUGCCAGCCGCGGC